rnacentral:tmRNA from 1 species
GGGGGCGUUAUGGAUUCGACAUAAAUAAAACUUUUUAAGUUCAUGUCGAGAUUUAACUUAUCUCGUUAAUUAAAAGUUAAUAUAUAAUAUUUGCCAAUAAUAAAAUUUGUGCUCAGAAUUUAUGCUUAUAUGCUUAAAUGCUUAAAUGCUUAAAUGCUUAAAUGCUUAAAUGCUUAAAUGCUUAAAUGCUUAAAUGCUUAAAUGCUUAAAUGCUUAAAUGCUUAAAUGCUUAAAUGCUUAAAUGCUUAGUAUUAUAAUUCAAAUUCAUAACUUUAUGUUGACUAUUUCAUAAUAAUUGAAUUUUGAGCAAUAACUAAUAGUAUAGCGUUCAUUAAUGUCUUUUUAUUGAACGUUAAAUAAAAUAUAUAAAGACUUACUUUAAUAAAGCUUGCUCAUCAGAUUUGUUAAUAAAGUUUUAUAAAGAUGAAGCAAAACAUGUAUAAACUUAAUAAUUUAUAUUUAUGGACGCGGGUUCGAAUCCCGCCGCCUCCAAUA